rnacentral:rRNA from 1 species
AGCAGUAGCCACGGUAAUACGUAGGUGGCAAGCGUUGUCCGGAAUUAUUGGGCGUAAAGCGCGCGCAGGCGGAUCAGUCAGUCUGUCUUAAAAGUUCGGGGCUUAACCCCGUGAUGGGAUGGAAACUACUGAUCUAGAGUAUCGGAGAGGAAAGUGGAAUUCCUAGUGUAGCGGUGAAAUGCGUAGAUAUUAGGAAGAACACCAGUGGCGAAGGCGACUUUCUGGACGAAAACUGACGCUGAGGCGCGAAAGCCAGGGGAGCGAACGGGAUUAGAUACCCCAGUAGUCCCUGUCUCUUAUACA